GCCCUGGUCAGCUUGGACUGGUCAUUACCAACCUGUAGGUCCCUGGUCAGCUUGGACUGGUCAUUACCAACCUGUAGGUCCCUGGUCAGCUUGCACAAGUCAUUACCGACCUGCAGGGGCCUGGUCAGCUUGGACAGGUCAUUACCAACCUGCAGGGGUCCUGGUCAGCUUGGACAGGUCAUUAUCAACCUGCAGGGGCCCUGGUCAGCUUGGACAGGUCAUUAUCGACCUGCAGGGGCCCUGGUCAGCUUGGACAGGUCAUUACUGACCUGCAGGGGCCCUGGUCAGCUUGGACAGGUCAUUACCGACCUGCAGGUCCCUGGUCAGCUUGGACAGGUCAUUACCAACCUGCAGGGCCCUGGUGAGCUUGGACUGGUCAUUACCAACCUGUAGGUCCCUGGUCAGCUUGGACUGGUCAUUACCAACCUGUAGGUCCCUGGUCAGCUUGGACAGGUCAUUACCGACCUGCAGGGGCCUGGUCAGCUUGGACAGGUCAUUACCGACGUGCAGGGCCCUGGUCAGCUUGGACUGGUCAUUACCAACCUGUAGGUCCCUGGUCAGCUUGGACUGGUCAUUACCAACCUGUAGGUCCCUAGUCAGCUUGCACAAGUCAUUACCGACCUGCAGGGGCCUGGUCAGCUUGGACAGGUCAUUACCAACCUGCAGGGGUCCUGGUCAGCUUGGACAGGUCAUUAUCAACCUGCAGGGGCCCUGGUCAGCUUGGACAGGUCAUUACCG
rnacentral:lncRNA from 1 species